AUUGAACGCUGGCGGCAGGCCUAACACAUGCAAGUCGAGCGAGCGGCGGACGGGUGAGUGAUGUCUGGGAAACUGCCCGAUGGAGGGGGAGAACAACUGGAAAAAGUAGCGAAUAUAGCGUACCAUAAGAGGUGCCCCGGUGGGAGUAGCUAGUGGGUGGGGUAACGCCUCACCUAGGCGACGAUCCCUAGCUGGUCUGAGAGGAUGACCAGCCACACUGGAACUGAGACACGGUCCAGACUCCUACGGGAGGCAGCAGUGGGGAAUAUUGCACAAUGGGCGCAAGCCUGAUGCAGCCAUGCCGCGUGUGUGAAGAAGGCCUUCGGGUUGUAAAGUACUUUCAGCGGGGAGGCGUUACCCGCAGAAGAAGCACCGGCUAACUCCGUGCCAGCAGCCGCGGUAAUAC
rnacentral:rRNA from 1 species